AGUGAACGCUGGCGGUAGGCCUAACACAUGCAAGUCGAACGGCAGCACAGUAAGAGCUUGCUCUUACGGGUGGCGAGUGGCGGACGAGUGAGGAAUACAUCGGAAUCUACUUUUUCGUGGGGGAUAACGUAGGGAAACUUACGCUAAUACCGCAUACGACCUACGGGUGAAAGCAGGGGAUCUUCGGACCUUGCGCGAUUGAAUGAGCCGAUGUCGGAUUAGCUAGUUGGCGGGGUAAAGGCCCACCGAGGCGACGAUCCGUAGCUGGUCUGAGAGGAUGAUCAGCCACACUGGAACUGAGACACGGCCCAGACUCCUACGGGAGGCAGCAGUGGGGAAUAUUGGACAAUGGGCGCAAGCCUGAUCCAGCCAUACCGCGUGGGUGAAGAAGGCCUUCGGGUUGUAAAGCCCUUUUGUUGGGAAAGAAAAGCAGCAGGUUAAUACCCCGCUGUUCUGACGGUACCCAAAGAAUAAGCACCGGCUAACUUCGUG
rnacentral:rRNA from 1 species